rnacentral:rRNA from 1 species
AUGGCGACCGGCGCACGGGUGAGUAACACGUAUCCAACCUACCCAUGACUCGGGGAUAGCCUUUCGAAAGAAAGAUUAAUACCCGAUGGUAUAUGUUUCCUGCAUGGGAGAUAUAUUAAAGAAUUUCGGUGAUGGAUGGGGAUGCGUUCCAUUAGUUUGUUGGCGGGGUAACGGCCCACCAAGACUUCGAUGGAUAGGGGUUCUGAGAGGAAGGUCCUCCACAUUGGAACUGAGACACGGUCCAAACUCCUACGGGAGGCAGCAGUGAGGAAUAUUGGUCAAUGGACGAGAGUCUGAACCAGCCAAGUAGCGUGAAGGAUGACUGCCCUUUGGGUUGUAAACUUCUUUUAUAUGGGAAUAAAGUGGGGUAUGUAUACCCUUUUGUAUGUACCAUUAUGAAUAAGCAUCGGCUAACUCCGUGCCAGCAGCCGCGGUAAUACGGAGGAUGCGAGCGUUAUCCGGAUUUAUUGGGUUUAAAGGGAGCGUAGGUGGUCGAUUAAGUCAGUUGUGAAACUUUGGGGCUCAACCUUAAAAUUGCAGUUGAUACUGAUUGUCUUGAGUGCGUUAAAGGUGGGCGGAAUUCGUGGUGU